rnacentral:lncRNA from 1 species
ACGUAGCGUUCAACUUAGCUCGUUUCCAUGGCAACGCCAGCCGCGCUACUCUCAAACUGACGAUGGUGACGGUGGAUGAGGGCCAAGAAUGACCGGCUAACGACUGGACCACGUGUGUAGAGAUGCUGAACCAGAACAAGAUGCUUCAGUCCGAGUAACCCAGACCCAAGCAAAAGGUGAAAUCCACCAGACGACCCAACUGCAGGAACCACCGCUGAACC